rnacentral:rRNA from 1 species
AGAGUUUGAUCCUGGCUCAGGACGAACGCUGGCGGCGUGCCUAACACAUGCAAGUCGAGCGAUGAACCCUUCGGGGGGAUUAGCGGCGGACGGGUGAGUAACACGUGGGUAACCUGCCUCAAAGAGGGGGAUAGCCUCCCGAAAGGGAGAUUAAUACCGCAUAACAUCAAAUUAUCGCAUGGUAGUUUGAUCAAAGGAGCAAUCCACUUUGAGAUGGACCCGCGGCGCAUUAGCUAGUUGGUGAGGUAACGGCUCACCAAGGCGACGAUGCGUAGCCGACCUGAGAGGGUGAUCGGCCACAUUGGAACUGAGACACGGUCCAGACUCCUACGGGAGGCAGCAGUGGGGAAUAUUGCACAAUGGGCGAAAGCCUGAUGCAGCAACGCCGCGUGAGUGAUGAAGGCCUUCGGGUUGUAAAGCUCUGUCUUCUGGGACGAUAAUGACGGUACCAGAGGAGGAAGCCACGGCUAACUACGUGCCAGCAGCCGCGGUAAUACGUAGGUGGCAAGCGUUGUCCGGAUUUACUGGGCGUAAAGGAUGCGUAGGCGGAUAUAUAAGUCAGAUGUGAAAUACCCGAGCUCAACUUGGGUGCUGCAUUUGAAACUGUAUAUCUAGAGUGCGGGAGAGGUAAGUGGAAUUCCUAGUGCAGCGGUGAAAUGCGUAGAGAUUAGGAAGAACACCAGUGGCGAAGGCGACUUACUGGACCGUAACUGACGCUGAGGCAUGAAAGCGUGGGGAGCAAACAGGAUUAGAUACCCUGGUAGUCCACGCCGUAAACGAUGGGUACUAGGUGUGGGAGGU